rnacentral:sRNA from 1 species
AAUUCAGCAAUUCAGAAUAGGCUGAGUUGCUUGAAGAAAUAUCCUCCUGUUGCUGCCAGCCCACCCUGAGAUUUCACAAGCACUGUUCUGCUUCUCGUAAGUCAAGUUCCCAGGCUCUUGAACCCACCUUCCCAGGAGGUCCAUCAGGGGAUGUGGAUCCUGGAAAAUGCCUAAUGUCAAAUAGGGGCUCAUGGGGUCCACGGCAGCUUUGAUGAUUAUAAAUCUCCUCUGUUCUUCUUCCUCUAGAGAAAAAGUGCCGCCAAACAGCACUUUGACCAAGACGCUGACGCUGCUGCCCUUGCUGGCUAACAAUCAAGAAAGGAGAGGCAUUGCCCUGGAUGGGAAAAUCAAGCACGAGGACACAAACCUUGCCUCCAGCACCAUCAUUAAGGAGGGCAUAGACCGGACCGUCCUGGGGAUCCUGGUGUCUUACCAGAUCAAGGUGAAGCUCACAGUGUCAGGCUUUCUGGGAGAGCUCACCU